GAUGAACGCUGGCGGCGUGCUUAACACAUGCAAGUCGAACGAUGAAGCCCAGCUUGCUGGGUGGAUUAGUGGCGAACGGGUGAGUAACACGUGAGUAACCUGCCCUUAACUCUGGGAUAAGCCUGGGAAACUGGGUCUAAUACCGGAUAGGAGCGUCCACCGCAUGGUGGGUGUUGGAAAGAUUUAUCGGUUUUGGAUGGACUCGCGGCCUAUCAGCUUGUUGGUGAGGUAAUGGCUCACCAAGGCGACGACGGGUAGCCGGCCUGAGAGGGUGACCGGCCACACUGGGACUGAGACACGGACCAGACUCCUACGGGAGGCAGCAGUGGGGAAUAUUGCACAAUGGGCGAAAGCCUGAUGCAGCGACGCCGCGUGAGGGAUGACGGCCUUCGGGUUGUAAACCUCUUUCAGUAGGGAAGAAGCGAAAGUGACGGUACCUGCAGAAGAAGCACCGGCUAACUACGUG
rnacentral:rRNA from 1 species